AAAGUUAGAGGUUCGAAGGCGAUCAGAUACCGCCCUAGUUCUAACCAUAAACGAUGCCAACCAGCGAUCCGCCUGAGUUCCUCAAAUGACUCGGCGGGCAGCUUCCGGGAAACCAAAGUGUUUGGGUUCCGGGGGAAGUAUGGUUGCAAAGCUGAAACUUAAAGGAAUUGACGGAAGGGCACCACCAGGAAUGGAGCCUGCGGCUUAAUUUGACUCAACACGGGAAAACUUACCCGGCCCGGACACUGGAAGGAUUGACAGAUUAAGAGCUCUUUCUUGAUUCAGUGGGUGGUGGUGCAUGGCCGUUCUUAGUUGGUGGAGCGAUUUGUCUGGUUAAUUCCGAUAACGAACGAGACUCUAGCCUACUAAAUAGGCGUUCCGAUCACUUUAGUCGGACGUUCUUCUUAGAGGGACAAGCGGCGUUUAGCCGCACGAGACAGAGCAAUAACAGGUCUGUGAUGCCCUUAGAUGUCCGGGGCCGCACGCGCGCUACACUGAAGGAAUCAGCGUGUGCUUUCCCUGUCCGGUAGGACUGGGUAACCCGUUAAACCUCCUUCGUGAUAGGGAUAGGGGCUUGUAAUUGUUCCCCUUGAACGAGGAAUUCCCAGUAAGCACGAGUCAUAAGCUCGUGUUGAUUACGUCCCUGCCCUUUGUACACACCGCCCGUCGCUACUACCGAUUGAAUGAUUUAGUGAGGUCUUCGGACUGGCGCUCGGAGCGGCCUUACGGUCGAGCCGGCGGGCCGGAAAGAUGACCAAACUUGAUCAUU
rnacentral:rRNA from 1 species